AGCGUUAAGUUUCUCUGGCCAGUAGGACCGUGUCCCCGUCACCAACCAGUCGCUGAAUUUGUUUUUUCGGAGUGUCUUUUCAAAUUUUUCCCAAAACCAGAGUGUGUCAAUGACAAAAUCGAAGAGAAAGUUUGCGAUCACCGACAAAUUUCUUCCAAGGCUCGCGAAGAACCUGUGCACCAGAAAGGGCAGCCGCCGCGCUAACACCGGUAACCGCUUGGAACACGCGGUUCUAACCCACAUCCAGCACGUGCCGUAGACAACCAGCACUCGCUCCCCCACCAUCAUCCAUCUUCUUUCCACCGGCGUCAGCAAGGCAGAGAGACAGAGACAGCAAUGGCCCGUGGUGACGAGUGUAAAACCGCCAACAAGGCUAACUACGCCUGCAAGUCGUUUGAUGUUACGGCUCCUGUCAAGAAACCAGUAACUACCCUCCAAACUUCUAGCUACAAGCCGGCAAAACAAGAGCAGAAGAACUACGGAUCGUGGGGCCCCAUCUUUAAGGACAAGAAGUCCUUCACCGAUAUGCACCUCUGCUGAGCCGCCGCCGGAUCAUCGCUUCGCUUCAUCAUCAUCGUCACGAAUAUUUAGGUUUACAGUCUCAAGGUGCUCUGUGGAUGACCCAUAGUUAGAUCCUUAUUGCUUUAAAUUAGAACCAAUAGAUAAUUAAUCUAAUAACUAAUUUGGACUUGUUAUGACAAAGUUCUAAGCCCUUCUUUUCGCGUUCCAUCUUAAAAUGUUUUGUGGAGUCCUCGUGAAUUCUAUUGGAACCUUAUCGCUGUACCUUAGAAUCAGUGGGGAUUGCAUUUUAAGAGUUUUUAUUGUGGAUAAGUAUGCCAAGAAAAGGUUGUAAUCAUCUUUCCACAAUACUAUUAAGUUUGCCAACUUUUGAAAUCCACUGUGUACUGAAUCCUCCAAUAAUCGCUCUUUUUGUCAUGUCUUGUCAUAAAUUUAGCUCUAUGUAGUUUAUUUGCGAUAUCUGUGUAUGCCCUCACAACAAGUUUCGAUAGAGUUUCCAGAACAUAUUUUUAAUAAAAAACGAUCUAAGUAAUAUUAUGUCUUCGAAUAAAGAUGUCGUCAAUAUAAUGAAAACCUGUGUUUGUGACGAGCUUACUCUCUCUGUCGCAUUUCUUUGGGGUAGGGUCUUGCGUUACUAAUAUGCCAUGUAUUUCAUUUUAACAGAUUAAAUUCAUCAGCAUUCGAUCAGAUUUUUUUGUUAAUAUAUUACUAUUAUUAUAA